rnacentral:rRNA from 1 species
UAGAGUUUGAUCCUGGCUCAGGAUGAACGCUAGCUACAGGCUUAACACAUGCAAGUCGAGGGGCAGCAUGAACUUAGCUUGCUAAGUUUGAUGGCGACCGGCGCACGGGUGAGUAACACGUAUCCAACCUUCCGUUUACUCAGGGAUAGCCUUUCGAAAGAAAGAUUAAUACCUGAUAGUAUGGUGAGAUUGCAUGAUAGCACCAUUAAAGAUUUAUUGGUAAACGAUGGGGAUGCGUUCCAUUAGGUAGUAGGCGGGGUAACGGCCCACCUAGCCGACGAUGGAUAGGGGUUCUGAGAGGAAGGUCCCCCACAUUGGAACUGAGACACGGUCCAAACUCCUACGGGAGGCAGCAGUGAGGAAUAUUGGUCAAUGGGCGAGAGCCUGAACCAGCCAAGUAGCGUGAAGGAUGAAGGUCCUACGGAUUGUAAACUUCUUUUAUACGGGAAUAAAGUAUCCUACGUGUAGGAUUUUGUAUGUACCGUAUGAAUAAGCAUCGGCUAACUCCGUGCCAGCAGCCGCGGUAAUACGGAGGAUGCGAGCGUUAUCCGGAUUUAUUGGGUUUAAAGGGAGCGCAGACGGGAGAUUAAGUCAGUUGUGAAAGUUUGCGGCUCAACCGUAAAAUUGCAGUUGAUACUGGUUUCCUUGAGUGCAGUUGAGGCAGGCGGAAUUCGUGGUGUAGCGGUGAAAUGCUUAGAUAUCACGAAGAACCCCGAUUGCGAAGGCAGCUUGCUAAACUGUAACUGACGUUCAUGCUCGAAAGUGUGGGUAUCAAACAGGAUUAGAUACCCUGGUAGUCCACACGGUAAACGAUGGAUACUCGCUGUUGGCGAUAUACUGUCAGCGGCCAAGCGAAAGCAUUAAGUAUCCCACCUGGGGAGUACGCCGGCAACGGUGAAA